rnacentral:rRNA from 1 species
CUGCUGCCUCCCGUAGGAGUUUGGGCCGUGUCUCAGUCCCAAUGUGGCCGUCCACCCUCUCAGGCCGGCUACUGAUCGCU